rnacentral:lncRNA from 1 species
GACAAGAGACUGAUAUGAUUCGUGUAGAACAGUUUCUUCAGUUUUGAACUGUAUUUCAGGAUAAAAGAACAACUAUUGAAGCAGAAUUACACCAGGAGCAAACCAACACAGGAAACGCCAGAUGGGAACUUCAUAAGGAAUUUGAGGUAGGCGUUAUCAGCGACAAAACAACUGGAAAUUGAAACGGAAAAACUGAGAAAGAUUUACAAUGAUAAAUCUGAGGUAAUCUAACGUUUUAUGUUCAGUUUACCGUAUUUCUAUUUUAGUGAGAGAUGUUGAGUAUUUCAAAUUCAAUUUCUUAUUCAUAUCUCUGUUUCAGAAAGUGUGAAGUUUAAGGGAGCAACUCAGUGAUUUUCCUACGGAACACAACAACACUUCAGUUUGUCUGUAAAAGGAACGGAGGCUAAAACUUGCCCAUCUAAAUACAGUCAAGGAAUUACACCAAGCUGUUACCGACGGGUGUAACCAUGCCUUGAGUAGGAUCGCAGACCUCCGUGCUAAGUCCAAAGAGUACAGAACAGGCCCUUACAUGGUGGAGGAAACAGCAGCCGCUAUGCCAGAUGUCAUUGAAGAACUACAGUUCGUCUUUGAUGCCGUAGAGUUUCAAAACCAAACAGCUAUGUUGAUCAUGAACACCUUGGAACGUGAUAUCACCAACUGUCAACAACGGAUGGAGCCAACAGUGGAAACUCAUACUACUCUGUUCACAACCAGACAGGAGAAAAUGGAGGAAACCAAGCUUUCUUUGUUGCAGAAGAGGAUGCACAGAGCUGUGGUGAAAUACUUCAGACAACGCAGCCUCUACAGCCUGGCUGAACUGGCCCGCUUCCAGAACCUCUCUAACGAGAACAACCAGAAAAUAAAAACCAUCCAGGGUUGCAUGGAGAAGUGGAGAUCUUCAAUUACUGGAUAA